GAGAGCCCCACAGGGCCCCUCCUGGUUGAUUCCCCAAAUCCACUUCUCCAUCACCCUCACUGACCUUCUCCCACUGUGAGGCCUCCUGCCUUCCACAGGACCUGCCUGCUGUCUCACCUCUUCAUAGCUCACCUCUCUUCUCUACCCCAAGGCUGGCUUUGAGGGACCCUGGCUCCACAGUCCUUGCCACAGUAUGAACAAGGUCACUUCCUGCUGCAGAGUCCUCACUCCAGCUUUCUCACCAAUCCUCCCCCUACACAAGAAGAUCAUCUCUGGGUUCAGGUCACCCAUCCAACUCCACUGAUGGAUUUAGGCUCAUUUAAUCCAAACUCGACUCCAUUUCAGCCAGAACCAGGCACCUCUAGAAAGGUCACCCUAACUGCCACAUCCAGUUCCUGAUCUGCCAUCUGCUUCUUUUCCAUCACUUGUGGGGUAUUUCCCAGCCUACCACUAAUGUGAGCCCUCCUGAGUCAAAAGUUCCCCUCUUCCAGGCCUCCUGCUCAGCUGACGUCCUGGACCAGGCAGGCCACCCUUGUUCCACUUCCCCUGGGAAGACACCUGGGUCUUGUGCCUGCCCUGGAUUAGGGUGGGCAAAUUAGUUCAUCCAGGACUAGAAGAAUGGAAAUAAACAGACUUGUGUCUUGGGGCUGA